AUAUACAAAACCUAGAAGCACCUUAUAUUUUGUAUGUCAGAGAUCCUUCUAACAUAACUUUAGUUUUGUGGAUGAUAAUAUCCUAAGAAAUACUGAAAUAUUACCUCUUUGUUCUUAUACAGGCUUUUCAGAAUUACAUUUGCAAUUCAUUGGGUUUACAUUUACAGUGGAAAAUUAUUCUUCUAAUUGGGGAUUUCUGAUUAUCUUGAAGCUGUUUAAUAAUAAAUGCAUUAACCAUAGGUGAUGAUGUGCAGCAGGAUUCAGGGAACAUUCUCUAUAGAUGCAAAUUUCCCCCACUAAAGUUAGCUUUUCAAGGCCACUUCAGUUUACUGGCUCUCUGACAACCAUCUUAAAAUAUGUCAAAGAACUAUCUUCCCCUUGAGGUAAAAUAUUUUGAUUUACUUCACUUGCAAAUUGAAUUUUAUGAAAGACGGGUGUGAAGACAAGUACAAGAGAAACUGGAACUGAGUAGGAAGUUACAAGAAAGCACACAAAUUCUACAGUCCCUUCAUUUUUCUCUUUGUGCCAUAAAAAUUGAAACCAACAUAAAGAAAUCAAACAUUUGAAUGAAGAAAGUGUGCAUUUCAAUAGUAAAUAUCUCAUUCAAAUAUACUCAAGUGAUAACUUGAUACAUUGAUACUUUACUAAAAGAAUGAUGAUUCCACACCCAGACUUGAGAGGACUAGAAAACCAGUGCUGCAUCAUGAGUCAGGAAAAUAAAGAUUUUUAUAAGCAACUGGUUGAAACUUCAGAGAGGACAAAAUUGUAGGCCAAAAAUACAGAGUUUCCCAUCAGUAAUAAAAGCCAGCCCUGCAAGAAUUCUCAGAGAUUAAAGCAUGUUUGGAAUACAGAAACAGAAAAUUUCCUGAACAUUUAGUGACAAAUAGGAAAAGAUGAAAGUGGCCAUGCAGAAAAGUGACUCCAUGGAAUAGUAAAUCUCCAAACCUUAGAUGUUCAGCAAAGAGAUGAAAACUUAGCUUGAGGAUACCAUUGAUAAGGCUUCAAAGCAACACACACUUUGUGAAUGCACAUAGCACUUCUCCAAACGAAUAGAAGUGAGCUUUGAGGUCCUUAUACGAUGAAGCUAGGAAAAUUGCCACUUUAGGGUAUCAGCAAGAGAUUUCUAAAUUAAAUCUGAACUUGAGAAGAAAGUAUUAUUUUGCAAAGAGGAAUGCGAGGUUCGAAGAAAAGAAAAUAAAUUAACUGGUGAAAAUGAAAGGCUUUUUUCUGUUGUGGAUAGCUUAGCAGCUCAAAAUAGACAAUGUGAAAAUGAGCUUGAGAUUUUGUCAUUAAGAGUAGGUUGCCUUCUGGAAAACUUAAAUUGCAGAAACCAUGCAUUAGAUCAGCAAUGAGAAAGAUUUUCUGGAGUGUUUUCAAGCUACUGUUUCUAAGAAGACCAAAGAGUUUGAGAUUUUGAGAAGUUCUGACACAGAAUCAAGAAUGCUGGAUCCACUUUUGAAAUCUCAUUAUAGUUAUUACCUGGGCAAGUCUUUAAGGAUUGCAAUCUCUCUUUAGAAAGCCAGGCAGGCCAAACAACUUGUUCAAGAAUUGAGAAGUCUAAGGCUUAAUUUGCCUGAAGGAAAAUCCAUCCAGCUGGCAUUGUUGUGAGCCAAUCUUGUAUCUUAGAGAUAAAGAUAUUUUGAUGAGCUCUGUCUUAGCUUCAGAUGUUAUACAUGCUAUGAGCAAAGAUAGUUUUUGUAUAUUCAGGGUGACAGCUUAUCUCUUACAUGUACCUUGAAGGCCAGUUCUGUUGGUCUUCUACUAAUUCUACUACUAGUUCCAACAGAAAAUGACAAUGAAAAGAAUAAGAUGGCCAGGAUUCUGGAAGGAUUUAAAUCUGUCCUACAUAAAAACAGACUGAAAAUCAAUCUGUGUAUUUUCCACCGGAAGCCUAAGACAGGAUGUUGGCUAUUAUUAAAGCAAUUCUUACAGCUGUUGCUGAAAAUCAUGUUAGAGUCCAGUUGGUUUAAAAGAAGGGCUGUACAUUACAGAGAUUACUUGUGAUGAGCUCAUUCUAGCUACUGUUUGUAAGAAACUGUAUCAUAUUGAAUGUGUUCCCAAAGGGAAAAUUACAGUCUUUGUCUGUUACUGGAAUCACGGUGUUCCCAGGAACAUGCUCUAUUUUAUCCAUGUUCUUUCUUUGAAUGAGUGGAAGGGAGAUUUGGCAUCAAGUUCCCAGAAAAAAUAAAAAAGGUCGCCUACUCAUAAUAACUUCAACAAUUAGGAAGGGCUCUUCAGCUAGUCUGUUUGUAGCAGUGGACUGAUCCUUUGCUAAGAGAGACAUAGAACUAAACUUUCUCACAGAAAUUUCAAUGAACCUAUGGCUCAGGAACUGUACAGUAGAUAACAAUCUUCAAGGAAAAGCUGUGUUGGCUGCCUUUCUCGAUUCUUUCUGUUGAGCAACCAUGAAGAUGUCUAACCCUGGCAUAUACCAAUGACCUCUCACUUACAUUUUUCUCACAGCAGUCUUUCGAGGCCCUUUCUUCUGUGGAAUUCAAUCACGCAGAAUAUAUGUUUUGCUUCAGCCACAUGGGAUUGGAUAUGGACUCACAGUAUGAAAGGUUAUGUGUGCAGGAGCUAAUAUGGCCUGUAACUCCUGUUCCCAAUUGUUAUAGCUCUCUGCAUGUCAUAGUAUGAAGUGAGUAUGGCAUCAAUACACCACAAGGAUGAUAAGACUGUGGAAUGGGUUCAAACCACCAGCCUGAGGAGCAUAAGAACACUAAAUCUGAAUGCACCUUCAACCUUUUCAACUCUGAGCUUCCAUGCUUAAUCUAAGAACAAGUUCUCUGGAGAAGUUCUAGUAUGCCAGACACUUGAAAAUGUGAUUUGUUUUUAAGAGUCUGGAGCAGGAGAGAUUACAACACCUGUAAGAGAUUCUAAGAGCCAAGAAUGAGCUUCAAAAUUAUACCAACCCAACCAAUUUCAACCAUGUGGUUCACCCUGCCUGGAGAUGGAAUGUAUGAUGUCGUGGCUCUCACUCUAA
rnacentral:lncRNA from 1 species